UCCUACGGGGGGCAGCAGUGAGGAAUAUUGGUCAAUGGGCGCGAGCCUGAACCAGCCAAGUCGCGUGAGGGAAGACGGUCCUAUGGAUUGUAAACCUCUUUUGUCGGGGAGCAAAAGACGCCACGCGUGGCGUUCCGAGAGUACCCGAAGAAAAAGCAUCGGCUAACUCCGUGCCAGCAGCCGCGGUAAUACGGAGGAUGCAAGCGUUAUCCGGAUUUAUUGGGGUUAAAGGGGGCGCAGGCGGAAGAUCAAGUCAGCGGUAAAAUUGAGAGGCUCACCCUCUUCGAGCCGUUGAAACUGGUUUU
rnacentral:rRNA from 1 species